rfam:Pan troglodytes isolate Yerkes chimp pedigree #C0471 (Clint) chromosome 7, whole genome shotgun sequence.
GCUGGGCAUGGUGAUGCGUGCCUGUAAUCCCAGCUACUCGGGAGGCUGAGAUGGGAGGAUCACUUGAGCCUGGGAGAUGGAGGUUGCAGUGAGCAGAGAUCAUGCCACUGCACUCCAGCCUGGAUGACACAGAGAGACUCCAUCUCAA